CAUGAGAUCUGUUCUCCCGAAAUCCUUUCCAGUUCAAAACCCAUAUUUUUCUUUUGUUAAGUUCUCCAUAGCCAAGUACCUCAAGCUUGUUCAUCCUAGAAUGAAAUGUUCAUUUUUUGGGAACUUGAACCAGAGGAAGCUUGUUAUCAAU